rnacentral:rRNA from 1 species
UACAGAGGUGGCAAGCGUUGUUCGGAAUUACUGGGCGUAAAGCGCGUGUAGGCGGUUGUCCAAGUUGGAUGUGAAAAGCCUUGAGCUUAACUCAAAAAUGACAUUCAGGACUGGAUGACUAGAGGACCGGAGAGGAUAGUGGAAUUCCCAGUGUAGUGGUGAAAUACGUAGAGAUUGGGAAGAACACCAGUGGCGAAGGCGGCUAUCUGGACGGUUUCUGACGCUAAGACGCGAAAGCGUGGGGAGCAAACAGG